UGGGGAAUUUUGGACAAUGGGGGAAACCCUGAUCCAGCCAUCCCGCGUGUGCGAUGAAGGCCAUCGGGUUGUAAAGCACUUUUGGCAGGAAAGAAACGUCAUGGGUUAAUACCCCGUGAAACUGACGGUACCUGCAGAAUAAGCACCGGCUAACUACGUGCCAGCAGCCGCGGUAAUACGUAGGGUGCAAGCGUUAAUCGGAAUUACUGGGCGUAAAGCGUGCGCAGGCGGUUCGGAAAGAAAGAUGUGAAAUCCCAGAGCUCAACUUUGGAACUGCAUUUUUAACUACCGGGCUAGAGUGUGUCAGAGGGAGGUGGAAUUCCGCGUGUAGCAGUGAAAUGCGUAGAUAUGCGGAGGAACACCGAUGGCGAAGGCAGCCUCCUGGGAUAACACUGACGCUCAUGCACGAAAGCGUGGGGAGCAAACAGG
rnacentral:rRNA from 1 species